CAAACGUCAAUAUAUUUGAGAAAUUAAUUAUUUUGUGGGAUCUAUUUGAUUAUGAUUGUGAUUGUAUAAGUUUGGUCCUUAUAAUUGGAUAAGAGUCCUUGUUAUUGUUGUAUAAGAUUAUUGUUUAUGAUUAUAUGAAAUUUGGUGAAGAAGUGUUAAAAUCAUGGUCGUUUAAUACAUGUAAUGAAACUCACUUUAAACUACAAAUUUAAUGGUUGAUUUGACACUAGUUGCCACUUUAAACCAUGUGCAUUCGCGUGUUGAGAUAUCUUUUGUCAACUACCACACAGGGAAAGGUUUACUUGCUUGAGUGUAAUACAAAGAACUCUGUUCCUUAUUUGGUUUAAACAUGCAAAUUGCUCAGGUGAACCCCACAUUUGUAGAAUGUCAUUUGAAGAAUGGUUUAAGAAUUUAAGAGCUGCAAUGCUGUUGGUCUGUUAGGAUCGGGUGGUUAAUCCCAACAAAUAUGUUUGGAGUGGUAUAAAAUGAAAUGUUUGGAGUGAUGCGUCACUUAGUAGCUUACUCACCGGCUCGAGGACACGGGGGUAUUGAGGCCCUUGUUUUGCUCUCCAGUUUGGGGAAGGCCGACGGAUAGGCGCUCAAAUUUGUGUAUUGCCGGCCUGAUGCCGAUGAAUUUUGAAGACGCCCGUUUGGCAAUGGGUUUGCCGAGUUCGGGGGGCUACUAAGUCACUUACCUCAAAAGCCAGAUUUAUUAUGGCUUUUUUGGUUGGAACGGGGACACGCUUUUUCACCUGAAUGUUCCAUCGAUGAGCUACCGGGAGCGCCGCGCCGACGACCAGGAUCCUGUGGACUUGACGUCACCCACUGGAGGCCGUCGACACCCGUAACCCGAUGUCUCUGUUCGUGUCCGUGCCGGUAUUCUUAAGUUGGUGGUGGGGAUUUAUAUUGUAAUUAAAUGUCAAUUGUAAAUAUUGUAAUUUAUUUUGAUUAAGUUAGUUGGUUGUAUUAAAUUUCUUUAUUUCCAUACAAUUGG